rnacentral:rRNA from 1 species
UACGGAGGGGGCUAGCGUUGUUCGGAAUUACUGGGCGUAAAGCGCGCGUAGGCGGACCUGCAAGUCGGGGGUGAAAGCCCGGGGCUCAACCCCGGGAGGCAGGUGGAUACUGCUGAGCUCGAGUCCGGAAGAGGAGUGUGGAAUUCCUGGUGUAGCGGUGAAAUGCGCAGAUAUCAGGAGGAACACCAAUGGCGAAGGCAGCACUCUGGGACGGUACUGACGCUGAGACGCGAAAGCGUGGGGAGCAAACAGG